GCCUUUAAGAAACAGCCAGACCCCAGAGAAACCCCAAACCCACUGAGAAACUCCCAGACCCCAGAGAAACCCCAAUCCCACUGAGAAACUCCCAGACCAACCCCAAUCCCACUGAGAAACAGCCAGACCCCAGACAGCCUAAAAGCUCCUUCACCUUGGUGGGGUAUUGACCUGUUUAUCAUCUCUGAAAGUUGCAGUAGAAGAAAAAGUGAUGACUAAAAAAGACACCUCUUCCCUCUCCUAUCACCAUUUCCAAACAGGUCUGUUCCCCUCUGGGACUGUUUGUUGCAAGCUGGGAAGGGAGGCUGUGACCUGAUGGCCAGGGGCAGGGCAGGGGCAGAGAACUCAAGCUUCAACCAUCCUCCUGAUGAAUUUUAAAAAAUUCCAAGAAAUGUGGUUAUAACCCAGGGAAGGAACUAUUCCAACAAAGCAAGCCUUGAGCAGGAAAACACUCACACAUCUUGCAGGUCAGCCAGCACACAUAGAAUAAACCAUCAGCUCCUGCUCAUCAGAUUUGGGGUGAGAAACCACUGGAGCUAGAAACAUUAUGAAUGGAUUAUGGAGAUAUAAAUUAAAAGGCAGAGUGCAGAGAAAAGAAAUGCUUCAUUCCAGAGUUAAUUUAACCAUGUUUAGAUUUGGGAGUCCCAAAGGACACUUAGCCUUCUGUUUCUCAGUGGCUGUCAUUUUGGAAGGGGGAAAGAGAGGGACAGCAAAGGAGGAACUUCACCUCAAAGGAUCUUACAUGCUAAGGCUGAAUUUUUUUACUAAAUUUAACUUUUCAGCCUGUUUUCUGGGUGCCAGUGAGUGAAUCACAAUCUCCAUAACACAUUCCACAUGUGCAAAACAGGAGCAGUGAAUGGAGAUAAGAAUUGCUUUCUCUUCUUCUCUGAGCUUCUCACUGCCUUCCGUGGGAAAAAUCCUGGGAGAGAGCUGUGGCCACAAACCCAUUCUUUGAUAAGCUUCCAUCUUGUGAGUGAAUGGUUCCUCAGGCUAGGAAAGGAAUGAAGGUUUCAUGGGAGCCUUGAUGCCAGGGGAAAGCAGCCCUCACUUUUCAGGGCUCAAACUGCCAGUUCCAAAACCAGUCAUGGCUGCAAAUAGAAAGUUCUUGGGAAAAUUAAUUUGCCGAAAGGAACAAUCUUCCCACCCAGGGGUCAGGACUGGUGGAGGAUGUGGAGGGAGAGGCAUUUAUCAAAUCAGGGACUGGAACAGGAAACAGAAACUUGAUUCUUGUGUCUCUGCUUCCUGUAAGUGCCAGAAAUAUCACCCAAUCCUUUCUGCUACAGCUGAGUUCAUUUCCAUCAUGGAUGCCACCAGAAUGUUGGAAUAAGGAAACCACCAGCACAUUCACCAUCUUGAGAAGGCACCUGCAGUCACAUUGCAGAUACACACUGCCUGUCCCACAGGCUCUGCAUCCUCUUCUCCUGCCCUGGCUCUGCCUUCUCAUCUCACCACCAGCCCUGAUGUGCUGUGGGUGACUUUGGACCUCCCUCAUCACUCUGGGCUUGUCUGAUGCUCGUGGCUGACCCUUGUUGCCAGCACCCAGCCCACCCUGCCCUCCUUGCCUGGGCACCCCAGGGCUGUGCCAGGCUGGGCAGGGCUCUGCCCUGCUGCUCUGCUGAUGCUCAUCUUGGCAGAUCAGCCCACGACACCAGGGAGUUGUCCUUGCCACCUGCAGGAGCCAGAGGUGUUUUUGCCAUCCACAGUAGCACCAGGGCUGAAAUGAGUCUGCUCAAGGGUUCAGGUUGACCUUGAGCAUGGAAAAUCAAUCCCAGACUGACAUCAGCCCACACACAUUAGCAACCUGUGACCUUCAACUUCACCUCCUGGGAAUGGUGGGACUUUCUGGAGAGUCCUUAAGCACUGAACUCUAGGAGAUCCAAGGAGAUGUUAUGGUUGAUCUCAUGUCCAGCUCAUUGGAAGAACGAGCAUUUAAUAAUUUCUUGUGCUUUUCUUCUCUUUCCUGUCACUCUUUUUUACCAGACUGCAACACCUUGGUUAGCAGGCAAGGACCAGGCACUGAGAACAAUUCCCUGUGUGGUUCUGAUGGCUGAGGCCUUCUCAGCUUCCAUGGUGUUUGGAAUGAAUGUUGUCUGCAUUCUUCUCUUGAAAUAAAAAGCAAAUUUCUGUAGUAAAGUAAUUAGGAUGUGGGUCACAGGUUGUUAUACAGCAAGCCAGACAUUAUUUAACUUUGCAGAAAAUCCUGUGCUAGGACUUUUAUUAAGAAAGUCCAUUUGUUUUUAAAAACCCUUAAUCAAUAAAUCCUAAUUAAAAUCA